rnacentral:rRNA from 1 species
CCUACGGGCGGCUGCAGUGAGGAAUAUUGGUCAAUGGACGCAAGCCUGAACCAGCCAUGCCGCGUGCAGGAAGACGGCCCUAUGAGUUGUAAACUGCUUUUGUACGAGGGUAAACGCAGAUACGCGUAUCUGUCUGAAAGUACCGUACGAAUAAGGAUCGGCUAACUCCGUGCCAGCAGCCGCGGUAAUACGGAGGAUUCGAGCGUUAUCCGGAUUUAUUGGGUUUAAAGGGUGCGUAGGCGGUCGGAUAAGUUAGAGGUGAAAUCCCGAGGCUCAACUUCGGAAUUGCAUCUGAUACUGUUCGGCUAGAGAGUAGUAGAGGUAGGCGGAAUGUAUGGUGUAGCGGUGAAAUGCUUAGAGAUCAUGCAGAACACCGAUUGCGAAGGCAGCUUACCAAGCUGCAACUGACGUUGAUGCACGAAAGCGUGGGGAGCAAACAGGAUUAGAUACCCGGGUAGUC